CUAAAAGGGGAAGAAAAACUGAUACCACUUCCUUUCAUCCUCUCAGUGCAUGAAAAGAUAACUUCAAUACGACCUCACGUAAAGAUUUUCACACAUUCUCCUCUGAGGCUGAUCACUAACAGGACACACUGCAGUCUGUUCAGAGCAGGACACACACGUUUGUUUUUGAGGAAAAGGGUUUGAAAGCUGCUGACGAUCAACAGAGGCUCAGCAGCUGGCAUGGAAGCUGUAGUUGGACUGCUAUUAAUGUGGCUCGGAGUCUCUCAUGGUGUGGAACCUUACUGUGAUGGCAGACAGGAUGGAGCUCAGUGUUAUGGAGCUUUGGGAGGAACUGUGGACAUCCAGCUGAUGGACAGCACCUCAGAAAUAUCUAGAUAUGAACUGUUAAAGAAUUCAUUACAAACUCACAUACUAUUUGUCAGAAAUAAUAGCGUUACUAAUACCAUAGGACGCAGGUCUCUCUUUUUUCUCAGUAAUCGAACAUUUAGGAUCAAUAACCUGAGCAGGAAUGACAGUGGUGGUUAUACCCUUCAAACCUUUGAUUCAGAUGGAUUUAAAUCGCCCGACCGGACUUUACAGUUGUUUAUUCAAGCUCCUGUGUCCUCUGUCCUGCUGCUCUCUGAGUGUCUGUCCCAGGGAGAGAUGAGGGUGUCCUGCUCCUCUGAGGGAGGGGACAGUCCUCAGUACAGCUGGACUCUGGAUGGACGCACACUGACAGAUGCUGAGUUCCUUUCUCCAAAUAAUAAGACCAACAACAUCACUCUGAAACAGCACGUCUCAGGACGUCUGGUCUGCUCAGUCAGGAACAACGUCAGUAAUGUCUCAGAAGAACAGAAGACCUGUCGCUUCAUUAACUGCAAGUCAAUCAAUGGGACACAUAUAUUAGGGUGGGUGCCUGUGGACAAUAACAGCCUGUGUAUUAAACCAACAACAGAACCUACCCCAGUCACAACAACUUCUGUGGGUAAGGAGACUGGCACAGUGUCAAUUACACAAUUCAACAAUGGAAGUGUGACUUCCUACACUGAUGGCCAAUGGUACAUUAGACAUUUGCCAGUGAUCGGUGGUGUUCUCUCAGCACUGGUAUUUUUCUUAGUUGUGGGUGUAGUAGUCAUCUGUGCUCAGAGGAAAAAACAAAACAACAAACCUACAAAACCAAAAGAGGAGGAAUGCGACCAAGAUGUAACCUAUGCUGAUGUCAGGAUCAUGAAGCAACAGGGGAAGCCAGCGGUGCAAACAACACAGGCGGAGGUGGAGGUGGAGUACGGCCAAGUCAAGUUUUCGAGGCGAUCUCGGCACACUGAACCAACAGGAGAUGAUUGUAUGUAUGCAAAGGUCCAAAGAUUCCGGUGAUUUAGGUUAUUGGUGUGUUCACACAGACUAAAGGUCCAUGGAGGGAGGAGAUGAUGUCAAGAUGCCAAAAGGUCUUUUAUUUAAUUCAAUUUCCCAUCAGAAAAAUAAAAACCUUCAGAUUUCAUACGUAUUGAUUUUCUUUGCUUUCACUGUGAUUCUGUUAUAUAAAAGAGCAUCAGCACACUCAGACUUGACGUGACAUCUGGGUUAUCAUUUCAUAUGAUGCUACACAAGCUGCGGUAGUUUUGUAGCUAUUUAACAUUUCUAAACAUAAUUAUUCAUGUUUUUCUAGUAGCUUUUAUAUUUAUAGGAUGUUGUAAUAGUUUUAAUCGUAGUUAUAAUUUAUGGAUAUGUUUUAUCUUAUUUAUUGUCUAAACACUGAUAAACUGCAUUAUUACUAUAGUUUUAACAAUACAUGAUGCACUCAUUUAUCCUAAAACGGCCACUUUCAAUCUAAUGCCACAAAAAAUUUUUCAAUUUAAUUGAAGUGUGAUUAUUAAAAAGAUGUGGGUAAUGACUUGUGAUUUACACAAACCUAAUUACUAACAGUUCAGUGUAGUUUGUAGGUGGAGGUUGUCUUCCUUUGGCUCUCCAGUCCAGAGAUAAAUUUACAGCGAAGUGUUUCAGGAAGUUCACAGUAAGCAGACAUGUGAGCGGAUUUGUUUCCAUGAUGCAAAUACUUCUGCUUUUUUCUCAGACGUUAGUUUUCAUUCUUUCUUCCUUUGUUUUCUGCUCAAACCAUUUGGAUAAGAUCGAAGUUCAAUAACCAUUUAGUGCAAUAAUACAGUGGAGUGGGUUGUGUAGGUUUAAUCGUGACACUGGUUGUAAUAUAAAAAGGAGUAAGUUUUGUUCCUGUGUAUCAAGACCAGCAAUCUUAUCAAUACUUGUCACAUGAUGUCUGCUAAUUGCCUUCAAAUGUAAAAUUGGUUCAGAAAUUCAGUUUUAAAAAGUUAAGACGCAUCUGCUUUUUCAUAUUUAAAGUGUAUUUUAAAUGUUUGUGUUGAAGUAGAUUUGUGACUACACUAAAAGGAGUUCAGUGAACUAGCUGUAGUUUGAGGAAGAAAGCUGUUUUACUGCAUGUGAGAUUCUGAGCAAGCCACCUGUUUAUCAUUUAACAGCAUCGACUUAUGUUUUCUAUAUUUAGUUCAAUUACAUUUCCUACGUGUUUGUGGUUUUGAGUUUAAGUUGUACCUGUGAAAACAGAGAUGACGUUAUCAGUCUCUUCAAACAGUGCAUCGUUUUUAAUCAAAUAUAAGGUUCUGACUUACAGCUUUGGAGAACUGCUGAUAUCCAUUCAAAUGAUUUUAAAUUAAUAAAAGGUCAGCUGAACAAAAACCCGCUGAAGCAGAUGUUUCAGUGUUAAUCAGCAGGUGGAGUGAGAGUCAUGGAUAGAAAAUUAUUUUAGCCUGUGUUAAAACUAAAACUAAGUAAUAAUGUUUAAGAUGACUAGCUGUUAAAAGGAGAAUCACAGCUGAAAACAGGAUAAUGCACAUGUUUAGACCAACUCAUUAAUCAGAGAUUACAGAGAUUACAGAUUCAAACGUUUCAUUGCUGUUUGAGUCUCAGACAGAUGCACGUGCAGAGUACUGCAUGGUGAACCUUUUCUUACAGAUCCAGAGUAAUUCUAAAUAGGGUCAUUCACAGUACGGACACCUUUGGUGUGGGUGUGUACAUGGUCAGGCCGACUAUCGUGUCUCUUUGAACCACAGGAAGGCCGAUAACACAUUUGUAUAAACCAUAUUUUAUUAAAAUGAACUGGUGCUGAAUUAGUUUGGUCCCGUUCAGUUUACUGUAACUUAAUGUUUGCCCAUUUCAGUUCCUCUUUUCUACAUUUAGACUGUUUUAUAAAAAGAAGAAAAUACCUUUCAUGGUUGAGUGUUUGCUCCAAAAUACUGGUAAUAUUUUUGUCACCUGACAAAUGCAGAAGUUGCAACUGUUGCCACCAAACAGAUGGAAUACAUUUGGUUUGAUAUGGGGUUAAAGGUUGAUAACCAUGCACUAACUUUAUGCUGAUUCAUACUGCCAUAAAAUUGGUGUUUAUGAUCCAUUACAGUUGUAGUGUCCUCAGAGUUUAUUUUUUUGAUCAUGUGAUCAGUCAGCAAAUGCUGCUUUGUACAUCAGAGCGUGCCAGUAUGGCCAGCAUUGUUUCUACCUUUUAAUGUCUGUGUGGCAUAGGAAAUGCAAACAAGUAAACUGUUGCACAUUCACUCCUGAGAAGCUGAAGCACAAACACACCAGGUGAUUUUAUAAUUGUCGUGACACGGUCAUGUGAUGCUGCCUCGCCAUGCCAAAGCUGUUAAACUAUAAAACCAGACUGGCGCCAGUUCUCCAGUCUUUAGCACUUCAGUUUUUAAACUGAUAAAAGCCUUGAACUAUAAAUGCAUUUCAAACAGAAUAUAGUUUAUAUUUUUAAUGCAAGAAAAUGAAAACAUUUUUACAUUUUUUUCUUUAGUAUUGUACAUUUCAGAUUUUGUAGUUUUAUUGGUAUAUUUUUUUCUGUAAGACAAAGUGAGUAUGUAAGACUUUGUUUUUCCACAGACAGUUAUAGACACAUGCACACAGACACUCAGCCAUACAUACAAACCGCAUUCACGCAUGAAUGCACAUACAGCACAAAACAAACACACACACACACACUUAUGCCUUAAAGUGGCAACUGCCGUAAUAAAUAAUGCAAAUUACAAAUUAUCACCGAAAACCAAAAUAGUCCUGUGCACAGUGAAAACUAUAGUCUUUUGUCUCUUUCUGUAACCUAUAAUCUAUAACACACCUUGUACGUAUUGAAAAUUGUUUUCUGUUUUUCACACAAUAAAAAAAGAAGAAAAAAAGA